AAUAAAUAGAUGUUUUGACAUUGUGUAGUAGCAUUCAUGUGUACUACCGGUAAUGCCGUAUUCGGGUGUGUUCGGAAACUGAUAAAAACCACGUGAUAAUGACGUUAUUGGACCGUCAUCUGUUGCUAUGAGAUACCAUUGUCAUUUCGUUCGUUGUAUUUGAGCCAACUUGAAUUCGUUGAUAACAAACCCCCAAAUUCCGGAAGAUAGAAGAAAAACGAAUAAGAACAAAAACAGCAGCCUGAGAAUUCUUCAGCUACGAGUAUAAGUGAUCAUUUAAAGGUUCCAGUGCCAGCCAAACAAGGCAGAUAUGGACGAUAGUUGGAGACCGCAGAAAUAUGCGAAACUAACCCUUCCAGUGGUAUCUGCUACUUACCCCGUGGAUUCUGCCGGUGAUAUUGAAUACCAUGUGAAGGUAAAAAAUGAAGUUAAACAAAAGAGCUUCGAAUAUGGACUUGGCAAAAAUAAUCUGGAUAUAUCACACUUGAAAGAAGGAUAUUAUCAUAAGGAAAAGGUAAAUACAUAUUCAGGCAAGAUUUCCGUUUCCCGGAUGUUAUAUAGUUAGAUAAAUAAUUCUUAGUUAUCAGAGUAACUCGACCGAAGUCGGCCCAAGUAAUUGCCUUGAUAGAUUGUAUCAUUUAUUCUAAUUGGUUGAGUUGAUUGUCUGUUCAGUUAGCGCCAUUAAUAAAGAAUGGAAGUUGAUUGAAUUGGUGUGUGUUUGGAUAAAAUAGGCCUACACCACAACUGGCGACGAGAAAUGGAUAUUUAUCCAUUGCGAACAUUUACGCAAGUGUUUGAAGGACCUUGUGAGUUAAAUGAUUGGUCCGAAUUUAAACGUCGUGUGAUAGCAGUUGAGUGCUGUAUGAAUUACGUCACGCCGUUUGAACGUUCGACGGCGUGGGUUUGUGACAAACAAGGGAGGCAACUCUUGUAUACCAAGUGCGCGAAAUGUACAUGGACAAAACUACAUAUAUUAUGUGGUUUUAUGAUUUCUGUAUUCCACUCGUGUAUUUCCUACAAGAAACCCUGAUGCUUCGCCACAUUAAAAUAAAAACUAGUCUACUAAC